CCAGGAAAAGCCUCUAAGCAUCAGGUAACAUGAAAUCGUACCCCAAACCGACACAGGUGGUCAGGUAGAGAAUACUCAGGCGCUUGAGAGAACUCGGGUGAAGGAACUAGGCAAAAUGGUGCCGUAACUUCGGGAGAAGGCACGCUGGCAUUAGGUAAAGGGACUUGCUCCCGGCGCCGAAGCCAGUCGCAGAUACCAGCUGGCUGCAACUGUUUAAUAAAAACACAGCACUGUGCAAACACGAAAGUGGACGUAUACGGUGUGACGCCUGCCCGGUGCUGGAAGGUUAAUUGAUGGGGUCAGCCGCAAGGCGAAGCUCUUGAUCGAAGCCCCAGUAAACGGCGGCCGUAACUAUAACGGUCCUAAGGUAGCGAAAUUCCUUGUCGGGUAAGUUCCGACCUGCACGAAUGGCGUAAUGAUGGCCAGGCUGUCUCCACCCGAGACUCAGUGAAAUUGAACUCGCUGUGAAGAUGCAGUGUACCCGCGGCAAGACGGAAAGACCCCGUGAACCUUUACUAUAGCUUGACACUGAACAUUGAGCCUUGAUGUGUAGGAUAGGUGGGAGGCAUAGAAGUGUGGACGCCAGUCUGCAUGG
rnacentral:rRNA from 1 species